GCGGGCGUGGCGGAACUGGUAGACGCGCUGGAUUUAGGUUCCAGUGUCGAAAGACGUGUGGGUUCAAGUCCCUCCGCCCGCACCA
rnacentral:tRNA from 2 species